UCACGUCAUAAUGCUAAAAGUUGCCGCCACUGCGGUCAAUGUUAACUCUAUGAGAAUGUAUUGCUCUUUUAUCGUAAAUAUCUCAAAAAGUAUAAAGUUCACAAAUGUAAAAAGACAUUGAACAAUUGUCCGUUACAAGACCUUUGUAGGAGUGUUUGAAUGACGUCAAACGGUUCAGUGGUUUUAGAGCCUUUGAACGUCAAAUUUGGUCGGAAGAAGAUUCAUAAUUAUAAGAAGAACAGUGAUAAUAGACCACUGCAUUUACAUGCAAUGCAAUAAUUCAUACAUUUAGUCUAAAUUAAUUCU